rnacentral:rRNA from 1 species
UACGGAGGGGGCGAGCGUUAUUCGGAAUUAUUGGGCGUAAAGGGCGCGUAGGCGGCUGAACAAGUCAAAGGUGAAAUCCCUCGGCUCAACUGAGGAACUGCCUUUGAAACUGUUCGGCUUGAGGCCGGGAGGGGGUAGCGGAAUUCCCAGUGUAGCGGUGAAAUGCGUAGAUAUUGGGAGGAACACCUGUGGCGAAGGCGGCUACCUGGACCGGUUCUGACGCUGAGGCGCGAAAGCGUGGGUAGCAAACAGG